rnacentral:ribozyme from 1 species
AUUUUUAGAAUAUUUUUUUUUCUCUCUUCUAUUUUUAGAAUUUUCUUUCUCUUUCUUUUUUUUUGUA